rnacentral:rRNA from 1 species
GGAUCGCAAGACCUUGCGCUUUUGGAGCGGCCGAUGUCUGAUUAGCUAGUUGGUGAGGUAAAGGCUUACCAAGGCUUCGAUCAGUAGCUGGUCUGAGAGGACGACCAGCCACACUGGGACUGAGACACGGCCCAGACUCCUACGGGAGGCAGCAGUGGGGAAUUUUGGACAAUGGGGGAAACCCUGAUCCAGCCAUGCCGCGUGAGUGAAGAAGGCCUUCGGGUUGUAAAGCUCUUUCAGCCGGAACGAAAAGGUUACGGUUAAUACCCGUGACUAAUGACGGUACCGGAAGAAGAAGCACCGGCUAACUACGUGCCAGCAGCCGCGGUAAUACGUAGGGUGCGAGCGUUAAUCGGAAUUACUGGGCGUAAAGCGUGCGCAGGCGGUUUUGUAAGUCAGAUGUGAAAUCCCCGGGCUCAACCUGGGAACAGCGUUUGAAA